GUGAACCUGCGGAGGGAUCAUUACAGAGUUACUUAACUCCAAACCCUGUGAACUAUACUUGUUUUGUUGCCUCGGCAGGUCGUGAUUCAUCGUAGGACUUACCCUGUAAACCUACCCUGUAGCACGCCACGCUAAACAGGCCUGCCGGAGGACCACUAAACUCUGUUUUUACGCCUGUAUCUCUGAGUUUGCUAUACAAAUAAGUUAAAACUUUCAACAACGGAUCUCUUGGCUCUGGCAUCGAUGAAGAACGCAGCGAAAUGCGAUAAGUAAUGUGAAUUGCAGAACUCAGUGAAUCAUCGAAUCUUUGAACGCACAUUGCGCCUAACAGUAUUCUGUUGGGCAUGCCUGUUCGAGCGUCAUUUCAACCAUCAAGCCCUAUCUUGCUUGACGUUGGGAGAUUACGGAGACCGUAACUCCUUAAAUAUAGUGGCGGAGCUGGGUCGUGCUCUAAGCGUAGUAACUUACAAUUCUCGCUUCUGAGGGCGGCCCGGGUCUUGCCGUAAAACCCCCGUAUAUUUUAUCACUGGUUGACCUCGGAUCAGGUAGGAAUACCCGCUGAACUUAA
rnacentral:rRNA from 1 species